rnacentral:lncRNA from 10 species
AGUAAAAAGAAUAGAAAAUAACCAAAUGUCAAGACUGCAACUGGGGUGGAGCCAAGCUGCUGCGGAUGUUGCCAAGGGCCCUUCCCGGGAGAGCCAGGUGGGGUACCCACAUGCCACCUUCUCCUCAGGUGGAGCCACCGCCUGUGGCCUCCUGUGGGGCCAGCCUGGACUGCAGCUGCCAGGACCUAGUGAUGGCCCCAAACCUGAGAGUGGGCCCAGAGUCCCACCCCGCUAACCAUGCUGAAAAAGGCCACAGGGCACAUGAAGCCUUUGCUCCCUGGAUCAGGUCACGCUCUCCAGUUUUCCUUCCAGGAGGACAGGCCAUGCACUAAAAAACAGCUGCAGAGGAAAGGCUGGACCAGGUGUGCUGGGAGUCACCAGGAGCAAGGUGGUGAAGUGAAGAAACUGAGAUAGGAGAAGGGAUGGUGCCUGAGUCUGCGGCAGACCCUGAACUGGGCCACAUCUCCCAACUUGAGAUUGAAGUCGCUUUGAAAGCAGUGAGUGCCUGGGAGAAAAGAAGGAGCUUGGGGAACUUCAAGUCAAGACUCUUUUGGGAGCACAUGAAUCCGGGCAACGUGACUUAAGAGCUGGCUGAUGUUCCAGGACAGCACAAAAGAACGGAACUUGUUUUCAUGCUAUGAGUGCGCAAACCAAUGGGCAGUUUUUGGGGUUACUCGUGAUUGCUCCUCGGUCCAGAGUUCAGGCAGCAAUCUGAGCCACUCAACUGCUCUUCUUUACCCCUCUACCUCUGCAGUUCAUUGGGGGACAGAGCUGGGCCAGGAUCCUGGGACAGAAGGAGGAGGCGGGCCCAGGAAAGUCCACUUGGGGUAACACACAAUUUGUACAUAAAAAAGAAAUGUUCACCUCUUUGUAUGUACCGUAGUAAUUAUUUCACCUUCUUUUAUGAACUUGCACAUUUUCAGAGAGAGUUAAAUUAAGCAGAGUCUGAAAGUGGAGAAUUCUCACAUAGAUAAAAGAAUGGGGACCUGAAAUUGGGUCAUCAGGAAGUGUCUUGUGGCAAAAUACACUUAGUAUCGAACUGAAGGAAGAAAUAUUUCAAACAUUUUCUUUAAGGAAAACUUAAUGGAUGUGACUUAAUAUUGUCUAGACUGACCUAGCAGCACAAGGUGGUGCGUUCAAGGACUUUUCAUCUCAAUCCACAGGAAAAGGGUUCGAUUUAGAUGAGAAAGAGGGAGCGGGGCACAGCUAGACUGGAGAGGCAUCCUGUCCACGGAUUAGUCUUCACUCUUCAUGUGGGCAGUAGAAUGGUAAACGGGACCUUCUUAAAACAGCAGCUCCCAAACACUGGGAGGUUGAUGUGCUUCCUAAACCCUCACUGAUUCAUGAUGUUCGGCACAGUGUGGGGCCUCCCGAAAACGGUGCUGAUCAUAUGGAGUUUGUGGAACAUCUCCUAUGUGUACUACCGGGACUCUACUAUCCUCCGUGAUCACAAUUUCACUGGGGGCCAGUCGCCUAGAAGAUCUCACGGGGUGUCCAAUCUUUUGGCUUCCCUGGGCCACAUUGGAAGAAGACGAAUUGUCUUGCACCACAUAUAAAAUACACUAACACUAACGAUAGCUGAUGAGCUAAAAAAGAAAAUUGCAAAAAUAUCUCAAUGCUUUAAGAAAGUUUACAAAUUUGUGUUGGGCUGCAUUCAAAGCCAUCUUAGGCCACAUGUGGCCCGUGGGCCAUGGGUUGGACAAGCUUGAAGAUAGCCAUGAGACUACUGAUGACAAGAAUAAAGGUGGUUUAUUGAAUCCGUACUGUGUACUAGACUCUUCACAUGCAGAGCCUCAUUUAAUGCUCGUAACAAUCUCUUGAGGCUGAGACAAGCAUAUCCCCCAUCUUACAGAGGAAGAAGCCCACUCAGAGAAGCUAAGGAACUAACCCAAGAUCACACAACUAGAGUAGGGAUUCAAACCCAGACAAUGUGGAACCACAGACCACAACUUACCCACCAGCUGUUGUAAGUACACAGGGAAACCAGAGCAGGAGGGCAGAAAAAAGGAGGAGAUAUAUGGGGGUUAUAAGCAAGGUGUGGGUUAUAUGGAAGGUCAGUUGACAUCUUCUAUGAAUCCCCUGAAACCAGGAUGAAGAAUUUCAGACCAAAAGACUAUAGAGAGAGAAAAAAACUCCUGCUCCAAAUGAGAGAAGAGAAAGAGUGUUGACGGUAAAAUAUCAGUGAGACGCUGUGAUUUGUGCCUUUUGUCUUUUUCUAUCUGGCUCCCCUAGCAACAGUUAAGUAGUAAUGAAUGUAAAUGCUCAGUAACACGCCGGCGAGACUGUUCCACCAGGCGCAGCAUCCCUGGUAAACAGAAAUGCAUGCUAAUUUCUGCUCCGUGAAGCAUAGGAAACAUCACUAGGGGCUGCCCAGUGGAAAGGAACAAAAAGCAGAUGGAAAAAAUGUUUAAAUCUCAAGUUUAUGUGAGAACAGAAAAGAAGGAACAUGUUGUAAAUUAUUUUUUGAAAUAUUAAGCUACUAACAAAAUCCUAACACCAAGACAGACAACAGGGGUGGUAAAAGGGGAAGGAGAGACGGAGUCACAAUGGAGACGGUUUUGCUACAGCACAUCAUUAACCGCCACGUUUUUCUGCAGUAUCUGAAAAUAUCAGUCUUGGAAAUACCUAUGCAUUAUUUUUUCAGAGGUGUGUGUCUAUGGCCUCGGGGCUGGAGCUGGAAAACAAGCUAUUGCCAUGAGCUCAUGCUGGAGUCUGUGUAAAUUGUUUCCUCUCCUUAUGUAUAAUGUUUCUAAUUAGGACUGUUACAGAGGAUGAGCUCUGUGGGCUGUUGAAUUGACUCUUUGUGCUCACUGCAAAUCUAGGGCUUUAUGCCUGCCCAUGCUUGGGCCGACCUGCUUCUUAGAGGCAUCGCUAAAUGGGGAAGGUGACCCUGUCCUGCUUCCUGAUGUCUGAUAUCAGGGCUGUUGGGGAAACACCCAAGAGAUCUGCUGUCACCCCUGGAGUGAAUAGAUACAUGACUCUGGUUUCUAGAUGCAUAACUCUUGUUUCUAGUUGGCCCUUUUAUCCAAUUAUACCUUUAAUAAACAAAAGUCCAUUUUGAGGUCCUUUCUCUAAGAGACAACUAUUUACCUAAAAGUUGUAGGGUGAGCAGUAGACACUAGUUCCUCCCUCUGCAUCAAGAAUUUAAGAAAUGGGCUGGGCACAGUGGCUCACACCUGUAAUCCCAGCACUUUGGGAGGCCAAGGUGGGUGGAUCUCUUGAGAUCAGGAGUUUGAGACCAGCCUGGCCAACAUAGUGAAACCCCGUCUCUACUAAAAAUACAGAAAUUAUCUGAGUGUUGUGGUACAUGCCUGUAAUCCCAGCUACCCGGGAGGCUGAGGCAGGAGAAUCAUUUGAACCCGGAAGGCGGAGGUUGCAGUGAGCCAAGAUUGUGCCACUGCACUCUAGCCUCAGUGAUGGAGCGAGACGCCAUCUCAAAAUAAAUAAAUAAAUAAAUAAAUUUUAAAAGAAUUUUGGAAAUGUUUAGGGAAAGUGGAGUAGGACUCUGCUUCCCCAAGAUGCUGAGGCUUUGCAGAGAGGAUGUGACCCAGAGGGUAUGAGUCUCCCCGGCUUGGACCCACUCCUGCUCCCGACCUCUGACAUGUUUCUAGGUCAGACACACUUAGAAAAUUAAUCCUCAGCCAUCUGAGUAGCUGAUUGUCAGCAGGCAAUUCCCUUCCACCGGUAAAACUUCAGUCAGCUACGCUGGGCGAUGCAUAGAAAUACAGUAUUGGCUUGGCUUAGAGGUCUCCAGACACUUGGUCCCAGAGGACCAAGUAAAGGUUGCUUGUUAAUCUAGUACGACAUUCCCACUGUGGGACCUGUUAGGCUCCACACUGAAGAGGUGCCAGGAAUUCAAGGAGAGUGGAGGCUGGUGCUGAAAAGCUUCCCCCAGUGAUUCUGAUAUGCUCAGAGGGGGUGAUGGUGGUGGUCUUGGGCAGGCUUCCCAUUGUGUCAGGCCCAUGGUCACUAAUUCUUGUCCAGACCUGCAGAGCCAGAAUAGCCCAGCCCACAGAGCAGAAGCCACAGUGUAAGAAGCCCGACCUGGGCCAGAAAGCCUGACGAUGUCAGAAAAAAAUCCCCAUCAGUGUGAUGCCAUGGAAACCCUAGACAGCAGGCAGAUCUUUCUUCCUACGAGCCCAUUGGCACCUCCCUGGGAACUGGGAGCUGAGUAGGGAGGUAAAUCCCAGAAGCCAACAGAACACAGGUUUCAUGGAGAGCCUGGAUGCAAACCAGCAGUAGAGGACUGCUGCUCGGCACUGCGGAGGUGCUCAUGCCUUGCACCUGGUGGUUUGCCAAUGGACAAUUUCUCCAUGACCUAGUUUUCUACCUGGUCUGAAAUGAGAAAAAAUAAGUACAGCAUAGCAAGUUUUUCAUUAAGCUAAAUUUGUUCUAUUUAAAGAACUGCCAUUUGUUCUGGAACUAUGUCCUUUCUACUUUUUUUGGUGGAAGAAAAGUACUUUUAAGAAACAGAUGUGACAAUGUGGUAGUGGAUGACAACAUUUUUUGGUGUUGCUUUUUAAUAUUUCUAUUUUUCAAAAUAAAACCUGGCAACACUGUGUUAGUCCUCUGUUUUGUUUGUUUGCAUGCUUGCUUUUGCUUCUGUGUGUGGCGGAUUAGGGAUGGACACAAACUCUUUGGAACUUUUCAUACUGAAAGGUGCACCUAAUUUGCCUUCUCUUAAAUCUGGGCUGGCCUUAGUGACUUACUUGACUAAUAAAAUGUGGUGCGCAUGACCGCAUAGGUCUUCUGAAACUAGAUCACGGGAAACCCUGCAGCUUCCUUUCCAGGCCUCUUGGAACACUUAC